ACCAACCCGCUCAUAAAAACGACAAAGGUUGCAGAGGAAAACAACGAGAAGAAUUUACAAGUAAAUAUCAUUUACGGAGGUUAUAAAAGUGGACCUGAUGAUUCAGGAAAAGGCCACGAUGCACCGUUACUACCAAAAACACCGAUGAAUAUAAUCUAUGGAGGUUAUAAAAGUGGACCUGAUGGUUCAGGAAAAGGUCACGAUGCACCGUUACCACCAAAAACAUCGAUGAAUAUAAUAUAUGGAGGUUAUAAAAGUGGACCUGAUGGUUCAGGAAAAGGCCACGAUGCACCGUUAUCACCAAAAACACCGAUGAAUAUAAUCUAUGGAAGUUAUAAAAGUGGACCUGAUGGUUCAGGAAAAGGCCACGAUGCACCGUUACCACCAAAAACACCGAUAAAUAUAAUCUAUGGAAGUUAUAAAAGUGGACCUGAUGGUUCAGGAAAAGGCCACGAUGCACCGUUACCACCGAAAACACAGAUGAAUAUAAUCUAUGGAGGUUAUAAAAGUGGACCUGAUGGUUCAGGAAAAGGCCACGAUGCACCGUUACCACCAAAAACAACUUUAAAUAUAAUCUAUGGAAGUUAUAAAAGUGGACCUGAUGGUUCAGGAAAAGGCCACGAUGCACCGUUACCACCGAAAACACCGAUGAAUAUAAUCUAUGGAGGUUAUAAAAGUGGACCUGAUGGUUCAGGAAAAGGCCACGAUGCACCGUUACCACCAAAAACACCGAUGAAUAUAAUCUAUGGAGGUUAUAAAAGUGGACCUGAUGAUUCAGGAAAAGGCCACAAUGCACCGUUACCACCAAAAACACCGAUGAAUAUAAUCUAUAGAGGUUAUAAAAGUGGACCUGAUGGUUCAGGAAAAGGCCACGAUGCACCAUUACCACCAAAAACAC
rnacentral:lncRNA from 1 species